rnacentral:rRNA from 1 species
GGCGAACGGGUGAGUAACACGUGGGUGAUCUGCCCUGCACUUCGGGAUAAGCUUGGGAAACUGGGUCUAAUACCGGAUAGGAGCCAUCUUUAGUGUGGUGGUUGGAAAGCUUUUUCGGUGUAGGAUGAGCUCGCGGCCUAUCAGCUUGUUGGUGGGGUAAUGGCCUACCAAGGCGGCGACGGGUAGCCGGCCUGAGAGGGUGUACGGCCACAUUGGGACUGAGAUACGGCCCAG